rnacentral:rRNA from 1 species
GUAUAUGGCUAUGCUACUGUGCACAAGCCCGAUCUUGUCUGAUCUUGGAAGCUAAGCAGGGUUGGUCCUGAUCAAUACUUGGAUGGGAGACAACCUAGGAAGACCAAAUGCUGCAGGUG